GUCAAUAACACCACAGAAUGGAUGCCUUGACAUUCAGACUAGCAAUUAUCCCUGAUCUGGAUCACAGUACUCGUCGGAAAACACAAACUGUACUAGACUGCAAGAAUCUUGUCUUCAAUGUUAACCGCACACUGCUUCAACAGAACCUCACACUGCUUCAACAGAACCGCACACUGCUUCAACAGAAAUGACUCCUGACUUCACCUCACUCGUCAACGCCCAUACGAGGCUCUCCUGUUCAUAUUGAACAUAAUAAAGAAUAGACGCCGCAUCGACCGCUACUGCCUACUGGCGCUGAUGAGCCGUGGGACCGCCAUCUUGGACCGGUCAGCUGCUCCACUCAAUGUAAUGU
ensembl:lncRNA